UUAUGUGUAGCUCAGUUGUAGGGCUCUUGCCUGGUGUGUGCAAGGUCCUGGGUUUGAUUCCCAGCACACACA
rfam:Cricetulus griseus cell line CHO-K1, whole genome shotgun sequence.